GUGGGGAAUCUUCCGCAAUGGACGAAAGUCUGACGGAGCAACACCGCGUGAGUGAAGAAGGUUUUCGGAUCGUAAAGCUCUUUCGUUAGGGACGAACGUGCUCUUUGUGAAUAAUGAGGAGUAAUGACGGUACCUAAAUAAGAAGCCACGGCUAACUACGUGCCAGCAGCCGCGGUAAUACGUAGGUGGCAAGCGUUGUCCGGAAUUAUUGGGCGUAAAGCGCGCGCAGGCGGGAUAUCAAGUCUGUCUUAAAAGUGCGAGGCUCAACCUCGUGAGGGGACAGAAACUGGUAUUCUUGAGUGUCGGAGAGGAAAGUGGAAUUCCAAGUGUAGCGGUGAAAUGCGUAGAGAUUUGGAAGAACACCAGUGGCGAAGGCGACUUUCUGGACGAUGUCUGACGCUGAGGCGCGAAAGCUAGGGGAGCGAACGGGAUUAGAAACCCUGGUAGUCC
rnacentral:rRNA from 1 species